rnacentral:rRNA from 1 species
GAGACCUCAAGCGUUAUCCGGAAUCAUUGGGCGUAAAGCGUACCGACAGGUGGUUGUAUAAGUCAGAAGUGAAAUCUCCGAGCUCAACUCGGAAUCUGUCUUUUGAAACUAUACAACUAGAGGGGCAAAGAGGAAGCUGGAACGAACGGUGUAGUAGUGAAAUGCGUUGAUAUCGUUCGGAACACCAAUAGCGUAGGCAGGCUUCUGGGUGCCACCUGACACUGCUAGGACGAAAGCGUGGGGAGCGAAUGGGAUUAGAUACCCCAGUAGUCCACGCUGUAAACGAUGCACGUUAGGUGCUAGGGAGUAUCGACCCUCUUUAGUACCAUAGCUAACGCGUUAAACGUGCCGCCUGGGGAGUACGGCCGCAAGGCUA